rnacentral:rRNA from 1 species
AGGAGCUUGCUCUUCAAAUCGAGUGGCGAACGGGUGAGUAACGCGUGAGGAACCUGCCUCAAAGAGGGGGACAACAGUUGGAAACGACUGCUAAUACCGCAUAAGCCCACGGCUCGGCAUCGAGCAGAGGGAAAAGGAGCAAUCCGCUUUGAGAUGGCCUCGCGUCCGAUUAGCUAGUUGGUGAGGUAAUGGCCCACCAAGGCAACGAUCGGUAGCCGGACUGAGAGGUUGAACGGCACAUUGGGACUGAGACACGGCCCAGACUUCUACGGGAGGCAGCAGUGGGGAAUAUUGCACAAUGGGGGAAGCCCUGAUGCAGCGACGCCGCGUGGAGGAAGAAGGUCUUCGGAUUGUAAACUCCUGUUGUUGAGGAAGAUAAUGACGGUACUCAACAAGGAAGUGACGGCUAACUACGUGCCAGCAGCCGCGGUAAAACGUAGGUCACAAGCGUUGUCCGGAAUUACUGGGUGUAAAGGGAGCGCAGGCGGGAGAACAAGUUGGAAGUGAAAUCCAUGGGCUCAACCCAUGAACUGCUUUCAAAACUGUUUUUCUUGAGUAGUGCAGAGGUAGGCGGAAUUCCCGGUGUAGCGGUGGAAUGCGUAGAUAUCGGGAGGAACACCAGUGGCGAAGGCGGCCUACUGGGCACCAACUGACGCUGAGGCUCGAAAGUGUGGGUAGCAAACAGGAUUAGAUACCCUGGUAGUCCACACCGUAAACGAUGAUUACUAGGUGUUGGAGGAUUGACCCCUUCAGUGCCGCAGUUAACAAAAGGAGUAAUCCACCUGGGGAGUGCGACCGCAAGG